rnacentral:rRNA from 1 species
GAUGAACGCUGGCGGCGUGCCUAAUACAUGCGAGUCGAGCGAACAGACGAGGAGCUUGCUCCUCUGACGUUAGCGGCGGACGGGUGAGUAACACGUGGAUAACCUACCUAUAAGACUGGGAUAACUUCGGGAAACCGGAGCUAAUACCGGAUAAUAUAUUGAACCGCAUGGUUCAAUAGUGAAAGACGGUUUUGCUGUCACUUAUAGAUGGAUCCGCGCCGCAUUAGCUAGUUGGUAAGGUAACGGCUUACCAAGGCGACGAUGCGUAGCCGACCUGAGAGGGUGAUCGGCCACACUGGAACUGAGACACGGUCCAGACUCCUACGGGAGGCAGCAGUAGGGAAUCUUCCGCAAUGGGCGAAAGCCUGACCGAGCAACGCCGCGUGAGUGAUGAAGGUCUUCGAAUCGUAAAACUCUGUUAUUAGGGAAGAACAAAUGUGUAAGUAACUAUGCACGUCUUGACGGUACCUAAUCAGAAAGCCACGGCUAACUACGUG